rnacentral:rRNA from 1 species
GUUUUUUAUUGUUUUCUGGAAAUAGCACUAAAUUAUUAAACCGUACCUUAAACCGACUCAGGUAGAUGGGUAGAAUAUACUAAGGCGUUCAAGAUAAUUGCGUUGAAGGAACUCGGCAAAUUUGCUCUGUAACUUCGGAAGAAGGAGUGACAUAAUUAGGGAAACCUUUUUAUGUUGUCACUAAAGAGGGAGAAACAACUGUUUAACAAAAACACAGGUCUCUGCUAAUUUGAGAAAAGAUGUAUAGAGACUGACACCUGCCCGGUGCUGUAAGGUUACAUGGAGAUGCUGUGGCAUUGAAAUUAAGCCCCAGUAAACGGCGGCUGUAACUCUGACGGUCCAAAGGUAGCGAAAUUCCUUGUCGGGUAAGUUCCGACCUGCACGAAUGGUGUAACCAUGGCCACGCUGUCUCCACCCGAGACUCAGUGAAAUUGAAAUCGCAGUGAAGAUGCUGUGUACCCGCACCUAGACGGAAAGACCCCGUGAACCUUUACUACAGCUUGGCACUGAACAUUGAACCUACAUGUGUAGGAUAGGUGGGAGGCUUUGAAGCACAGUCGCUAGAUUGUGUGGAGCCGUCCUUGAAAUACCACCCUUGUAUGUUUGAUGUUCUAACAUUGUUCCCUUAUCGGGAAUGUGGACAGUGUCUGGUGGGUAGUUUGACUGGGGCGGUCUCCUCCCAAAUAGUAACGGAGGAGCACGAAGGUUAGCUAAUCACGGUCGGACAUCGUGAGGUUAGUGCAAUGGCAUAAGCUAGCUUAACUGCGAGACAGACACGUCGAGCAGGUACGAAAGUAGGUCAUAGUGAUCCGGUGGUUCUGUAUGGAAGGGCC